GCAAGUAGGACGGGCCCGCGAGGGUCAGUGGCAAACGGGUGAGUAACACGUGGGUAACCUGCCGAGGAGUGGGGAAUAGCUCUCCGAAAGGGGAGAUAAUACCGCAUGAUAUCCCGGGAUUAGGUUUUCGGGAUCAAAGCCUUCGGGCGCUCUUUGAGGGGCCCGCGGUCGAUUAGCUAGUUGGUGGGGUAGAUUCCUCCCAAGGCGAGGGAAAAUAGUUGGUUUGAGAGGACGAUCAGCCACACUGGGACUUAAUCCUGCCCAGAGGAUACGGNAGCAGCAGUCGAGUUGAGUAAACUCGACCAUCCG
rnacentral:sRNA from 1 species